rnacentral:rRNA from 1 species
UACGGAGGGUGCAAGCGUUGUUCGGAAUCACUGGGCGUAAAGGGAGCGUAGGCGGACUUACAAGUCUGAUGUGAAAGCCCGGGGCUCAACCCCGGAAGUGCAUUGGAAACUGUAGGUCUUGAGUUCGGGAGAGGAAGGCAGAAUUCCCGGUGUAGGGGUGAAAUCCGUAGAGAUCGGGAGGAAAACCAGUGGCGAAGGCGGCCUUCUGGAACGUAACUGACGCUGAGGCUCGAAAGCGUGGGGAGCAAACAGG